GAUUUGGUUUAAUGAACAGCUAAAAGUGAUCUACAAUGAACAUAUUUGCUAUUGUACAUAAAUGGUGCUUUUAAAGAGCUUUAGUUUUUUUUCUUAGGGAGGGAAAUCUGGUUUAGCCUGUUCGUGUGUUGUAAUACACAGAAGGAGAACCUUGCAUUGCAUUCUGUCCCAGUGGUUCCCAGUGGUGCACCGAAGAGCAAGCAUAAAUCGUCUUUCUCCCUGAUGUCUUUUUACCCAGCUUGCACCCAUCUCAGGUAGAAGAAGAGAGCUGAUCCUGAUGGCCUGGUUUCAGCAUUUGGAAGGGAUUACUUUUUCCAGGGUGGAACUGUCUAAGGCAUUUACACAUCCAGCAAUUACAGUGUCUUGCUGUGUUGUCCGGCUGGAGUGCUGUGGUGCGAUCUCAGCUCACUGCAACCUCCUCCUCCUGGGUUCAAAGGAUUCUCAUGCUUCCGUUCUGGAGUAGCUGGGAUUUACAGGCGCCUGAUGCCCUGCUGCACUCUGGGGACAGAAAAAGGAAUUAGAAGCUGUCCAGGGCUUUGAUGAGCUCACACUCUAACUUCGAGGAUUGUGAAAAGAGCAACUUAUUAUUCAUUGUGAUGAAGGCUAUGAUGGAGGCACAGACAAAUGGCUGUGAAAACAUAAGGAAAAGACCUGCCCAGGGGUGAAAAUUUCAUGAAGAAGGUGCCACUGGAACAGGACCUGGAGGGAGUUUUUACCAGAAUCGAGACUCUAAGCAAAAUGGUUCCAUAGCUGUUGAAGUAAAAAUGAAAACAAAACAAAACAAAACAAAAAAACCAGUAUAUUAGUAGCAAAUAUUCUGGGCUCCAGUUCCAUCUUUGCUAUUUUCUAGUCAUGUGGUCUUGGGCACAACAUUUAUCUGUGUUCUGAUUUCCUUAUCUUUUAAAUGGGAAUGAUAUGACAACAUACCUGUCAACAAUUCUGUGAGGAUCACAUGAAAUUAUACAUGUGCAAAUCUAAAACAUUAUAUGAAAAUAGCUUAAUUUCAAUAUAUGCUAUAAUAUGGUAUGAAAGUUUGUAUUCCCUAUUGGGAAGCCAAUCGAUAGUAUUUGUGGUUAAAAGUUAUUUUUAUAAUAUACAUUAACAUAUAUAAUAUAAAAUUAUUAAAAAUUAUGAUUAAAAAAUCAAUAACUGAGAAGAGAAAAGCAUAUUAUUUGGAAUUUUGGAAGCAAGACACUAGGGGAAUACCUGAAAGUGUUUGCUUUUGGGGAGUGAGCUUUGGAGGGCAAGUGUGUAGUAGGCAGGUACUUAUGUAUCACUUGACUUUUAAAACAUUUGGCUUUAAAAAAGGUAAAAGUAAAUAAAAAAGAGUGGAGAUCCAUCGAGAAGGGAGUUUAUUUGUGACCUGGAAUCCCUUGUUCCAUCAUACCCCCAAAGAAGAGCACAGAUCCUGCCCCUUGAAGCCUGACCUUGUACCCAGAUGCUCACUCUGACUUCAGGAUGGGAGAUUACUGAAGUUCUAGAGCAGUAGGUCCUAAUGAGGGAUGUACUGUGCCCUCAGGGAAAGUUUUCAUCUUCUGGGGAGUCAUUAUUAAUUGUCACAGUGACAAGGGAUGGUGAGGUAGGUGAGGGGCUCUGGAGUGGGUCACUGGCAUCUCCUGGACAGGAACUAGGGAUGCUAGACAUCUCGCAAGGUGUGA
rnacentral:lncRNA from 1 species